CCUACGGGGAGCAGCAGUGGGGAAUAUUGCACAAUGGGGGGAACCUUGAUGCCGCAACGCCGCGUGGGUGAAGAAGUACUCCGGUAUGUAAAGCCCUGUCAGCAGGGAAGAAAAUGACGGUACCUGACCAAGAAGCCCCGGCUAACUACGUGCCAGCAGCCGCGGUAAUACGUAGGGGGCAAGCGUUCUCCGGAUUUCAUGGGUGUACAGGGGGCGGAGACGGCCAGGCAAGUCUGGGGUGAAAGCCCGUGGCCCAACCACGUGACUGCUUUGGAAACUGUGUUGCUGGAGUGCAGGAGGGGUAAGCGGAAUUCCUAGUGUAGCGGUGAAAUGCGUAGAUAUUAGGAGGAACACCGGUGGCGAAGGCGGCUUACUGGACUGUAACUGACGUUGAGGCUCGAAGGCGUGGGGAGCAAACAGGAUUAGAUACCCUAGUAGUC
rnacentral:rRNA from 1 species